GUGGGUGGGCCACGAAGUCACGUGACCCUGACGCGCUCGUGAACCGCACUCAGGGAAGUUGUUUUCCGUUACUUCUACUUUUAAAAUGUGAAGUUUAACUUAGAAUAACGCUAUUCGAUCUGUUCAGCCAAAAGGUGGUCUACAUCCAUAAAGAGCUUGUGGACGCAGAGUACAAAGAUGUCCAAGCUGGCUUCCCGUAACUCUCAGCUGCUGCUGGCGGAUCAGAAGUGUGCUAGAUGUCUGUUAGAGACGUAUGUCAAGCGGAGCCUCAGCCUCAAUGAAGGGUGCCGGAAACAUCAGCUGAAUAAGCUCAAAUGGCUUAAACCAGAAAGACAGUCCAGACGGGCGUCCAGUGACACCUCCACCCACCGUCUGAGAGUAGAGAGGUUCCUGAAGACCGAAGACUGAGCCCAAAGUGAAAGAGGAGCGAGUUACAGAAACAGACUCUGGACAGUAUACGACAGAGCGGGGGCUUCGCUCUUCUCAUAACGGCUCACCUGGCCACACUGAGACUGUGAGGAAGAAACACUCUCUGAGGAGGAUCUUCUUUAGCAACCAAAAUGAUGAGAAAAGAGAAACAUUACGAAAGGACUGCUCUCCUGUUCCUGGUGGCGUGGAGGGGCUUUCAGACGUGAGCGUGGAUUCUGAUAAUGCAUACUUUGAGAAGGUGUCAGAAGAGCUGGAGUUGAUUGUGAAGGAGAUUCAGUUCAGUCCAAACGAAGAUGGUGUUCCGCUGCUCUCUGCUGCUUCUGCAGGAAACUGCAGCUCUUCAGGUGAAGACACUACAGAGAGGAUCAUCAGCCUGCUGAAGCAACAUGGGGAUAUUAUAGAUCAGAAAAUAAGCAGGAACAAGAGCGUCCAAGACUUCCUCCAGAAACUGUCUUACAGCUCCUUCCAGCGGCUCGCUGAUCGCUACAUAGCGCAGAUCCCCAGUCCUCUUCCCCAGACCACAGACGCCUCUCCUGAGCUGGUCAGACUGGCCUUCACCCUGGACUUUACUGCCAAAGUGGCUGGAUUGUGCAGCCAGACGGUCGGUCGAAUCAUGGGGUUUGGGAACCAGUACCUUCAGGAUUCCUUCACACAAAUGUGUGCAGCCCACAGACAGGUAAUACAAGGGCAAAGGUGUAAUCGUGGGAGUAAAGUAAUAGGCCACAGUGGGGUCUUGCUUUAUGUUACAAAAAUGCACACUUUUAGAGACUCUUUUUGA
rnacentral:lncRNA from 1 species